AGAGCGAACGCUGGCGGCAGGCCUAACACAUGCAAGUCGAGCGCCCGUAGCAAUACGGGAGCGGCAGACGGGAUAGUAACACGUGGGAACGCGCCCUUCGGUUCGGAAUAACUCAGGGAAACUUGAGCUAAUACCGGAUACGCCCUUACGGGGAAAGAUUUAUUGCCGAAGGAACGGCCCGCGUCCGAUUAGCUAGUUGGUGAGGUAAUGGCUCACCAAGGCGACGAUCGGUAGCUGGUCUGAGAGGAUGACCAGCAUCACUGGGACUGAGACACGGCCCAGGACUCCUACGGGAGGCAGCAGUGGGGAAUAUUGGACAAUGGGCGCAAGCCUGAUCCAGCCAUGCCGCGUGGAUGAUGAAGGCCUUAGGGUUGUAAAGUCCUUUUAACGGGGAAGAUAAUGACGGUACCCGUAGAAUAAGCCCCGGCUAACUUCGUGCCAGCAGCCGC
rnacentral:rRNA from 1 species